GAGGGUAUAGCUCAAGUGGUAGAGCGCAUGCUUAGCAUGCACGAGGUCCUGGGUUCAAUCCCCAGUGCCUCCU
rfam:Camelus ferus unplaced genomic scaffold scaffold465, whole genome shotgun sequence.